CCUACGGGAGGCAGCAGUGGGGAAUAUUGCACAAUGGGGGAAACCCUGAUGCAGCGACGCCGCGUGAGUGAAGAAGUAAUCCGUUAUGUAAAGCUCUAUCAGCAGGGAAGAAAAUGACGGUACCUGAGCAUGAAGCCCCGGCUAACUACGUGCCAGCAGCCGCGGGAAUACGGCGGGGGCAAGCGUUAUCCGGAUUUGCUGGGGGUAAAGGGAGCGUAGUCGGCAGUGAAAGUCUGGAGUUAAAGGCGGGGGCUCAACCCCCGGACUGCUCUGGAAACUGUACGGCUGGAGUGCAGGAGAGGUAAGUGGAAUUCGUAGUGUAGCGGUGAAAUGCGUAGAUAUUAGGAGGAACACCAGUGGCGAAGGCAGCUUACUGGAGUGUAACUGACGUUGAGGCUCGAAAGCGUGGGUAGCAAACAGGAUUAGAGACCCGAGUAGUC
rnacentral:rRNA from 1 species